GACGAACGCUGGCGGCGUGCCUAAUACAUGCAAGUCGAGCGGACUUUACCCUUCGGGGUAAGGUUAGCGGCGGACGGGUGAGUAACACGUAGGUAACCUGCCUGUAAGACCGGGAUAACAUUCGGAAACGAAUGCUAAUACCGGAUAUGCGGUUUGCUCGCAUGAGCGAACCGGGAAAGACGGUGCAAGCUGUCACUUACAGAUGGACCUGCGGCGCAUUAGCUAGUUGGUGGGGUAACGGCUCACCAAGGCGACGAUGCGUAGCCGACCUGAGAGGGUGAUCGGCCACACUGGGACUGAGACACGGCCCAGACUCCUACGGGAGGCAGCAGUAGGGAAUCUUCCGCAAUGGACGAAAGUCUGACGGAGCAACGCCGCGUGAGUGAUGAAGGUUCUCGGAUCGUAAAGCUCUGUUGCCAGGGAAGAACGAGUGAGAGAGUAACUGCCCCUGCUAUGACGGUACCUGAGAAGAAAGCCCCGGCUAACUACGUGCCAGCAGCCGCCGUAAGAC
rnacentral:rRNA from 1 species